UCAGACGAUGCGUCAUGCAUAUCAAUAAGCGGAGGAAAAGAAACUAACAUAGGAUUCCCUCAGUAACGGCGAGUGAAGCGGGAAGAGCUCAAAUUUGAAAUCUUCAAGGUUUUACCUUGACGAAUUGUAGUUUAAAGAGGUGUUUUCUGUUGAAGUUUUGGUAAAAGUUCUUUGGAAUAGGACAUCAUAGAGGGUGAGAAUCCCGUAUUUGACCAUUAUCUCCAGCUGUGUGAUACACUUUCAAAGAGUCGGAUUGUUUGGGAAUGCAGUCCAAAAUGGGUGGUAAAUUUCAUCUAAAGCUAAAUACUGGCGAGAGACCGAUAGCGAACAAGUACCGUGAGGGAAAGAUGAAAAGAACUUUGAAAAGAGAGUUAAACAGUACGUGAAAUUGUCAAAAGGGAAGCGUUUGACACCAGUGUUGUUUUCUCGAAAAUCAAUUAAAAAGAGUUGGAUUUUGUGUUGUAUUGACCUUAACAGCUUGCUUCACUCUUUUCCUGCUUUUUUUAAUGCACUUUUCGUUUAACAAGUUAACAUCAGUUUCUUUUGUUGUAAAAGGGUCAUUGGAAGGUGGCUUUCUUUCGGAGAAAGUGUUUAUAGCCUUUGCUCUCUGCAAUCGGAGAGAUUGAGGUCUGCAGCGUAGAUCCUUCGGGGUUAGAUACAUUUGUGCUAAGUUAUAGCCUUUCAUAGACAACUUGUUGACUAUGAUCAGUCAUGUAACUUACUCGCUUAUGCUAUUUUACCUACGCUUAGGAUGUUGAUAUGCAUGACUGAUAU
rnacentral:rRNA from 1 species